rnacentral:lncRNA from 1 species
GCGUUUGGUGUGUUCAGUACCUCUUUGUGCAGUCUUCUGUCCAAGAAGACUCUUCCAGGAUUAAAAUCUCACAGACAGAGGUGCAAUGCUCAUAGCAGUGUUGUAUCUGCUGAUCAUUAGCCUUCUGCAUGAUCUUGUUUUUCAGAGGUUUCUGCUGAUCUCCUAUAGCAUCAGGAAGGCUUUUUUCUCCCAGUCAACAGAUAACUCAGAACUGAAGAAGGCUGUUAGAUUUCAAUAUUUACUGUAACAUUUGAACUGCAAGAGUUCCCUCGGCCAAAAACUGCCUGUGAGGAGCCCCUGAGUGUCCCCAGCCCAACUCCUGUCACCGUGCUGUUCCCUGGGGAUAACAAAACCCUUCGCAGGCGUGAAGAAUGAACCACAGGUAGGUCAAAUUCAUAUCCAGAAGUUCACUGCAGUUCCAUUAUGAUAUCGUUAAGUUCCGUGUUCCUACUGAAAAGAUGACAUUUUCUAUUGAACAGUGACAUUUGAAAAUAUAGAACUAACAUAUUACAUUUCUGCUGAAAUAUUUGAUUCAGCAAACAAACGACAGACACAGCUAUUGCUGGUUUCAUUGGCUUUUGCAGAAACAUUAUACAAAUUGUUAUUUGCUCCCACGUUUUAACCCCUUCUUUUCUUUUAGACAGGCAAGUGGUUAAAAAAAAAGUAUGAGCCGUUUAAGACAACAGCACAAAAACUUUUCUGAAGUUUAGUUUUUUAUGUUUACCAUGGAAACAUUCUUUGAGACAUUCAUCAAGAGACGGACAGGGAUUAUUUAGUGGAACACAGUCUCUGCCAGGAAGUUUUGUAUGAAUAUAUCAAGAUAUAUCAGAAAACUUUCUUAAGGAUGAAU